GCUUGUGGUUGAUUUUCAACCAAAAUUUUUGGUACUGGUUUUUCACAUGGUGGCGUGUGUAGGCGGUUUUAUCUUCAUCAAGAAUUUAUCGGACUGGGUUCUUUUCAUCCUUGAAAAGUUCAUCUGGGCAUUUAACAAGUACUCGUGCGGGGGUGCAUGAGAACGUUUUGGAAAUUGUUGGAUGUUGGAAUUUGGAUGCAUGACCCUACACGGUAUGCGACGGAAAAAAGAUUGGACAUAUUCUCCCAAAAGAAAUCCAUAAAAAGGCAGAUGUAAAAAAUAUCAAUAAAAAUUCCAGAGCAACCAUUUAGAAGCCACAAUCUGUUGAUUGUCCAAUUUGUCAAAUUCUUAGAAUGGUUAAAAGAACGCUUGCCGCCCCCUGUAGCGCCUUGUCGUGUGCCAUGCCCUAUCCUCUACACGAGUCAAGGGUUUGUGACACAAUAUUGGUCUUACUCGUUUUACGCGGGAAAGUAUUGAAAAGGGGAUGGAGUAUCCAGAUUUUUAAUUAUAAUACGAUAUUCG
rnacentral:misc_RNA from 1 species